GUCAUUUUGUCUAUUCACUGAACUGUCAUUCCUAAAUGAACGACGAUAAUUAAGGAAUUUACUCCUACCCCCACGAAUUUGACCAAGCACCACCAACACACGUCUGAAACCCUACGGCGUUUAGUCUCCAACUACAAAAGCGGCGAUUCCUCUCCAACUACAACAACGACGCUUGGAUUUGGCUGGCGGCACUUACUGAAUAUCGGACAUUCUCCCUCAAGGAAGAGUUUGAUUCCAUGAGCAAGACAAGAUGGCUGGUUUAGUGAAAGUUGUCGAGGUGGGAUGGGUGCUCGUCCGAGAAAGGGAUAUGCAAACAGAAUUUGUGGCUUCAGAAUGAGUUGAACAACUAUUCAUAGUAUUGAAGUAGAUAUUCGAUUACUUUUGCUCACUUGUUCAUAACUGAAUAAUAGUUAUUCAGAACUUAUUGUGUGAUAUUCAGUACUGAAUAAUAUUUAUUCAGAACGUAUUCGAUUAAUAAUAAAGUGGUAUUC